GCGGAGGGGAGGAGCUGCUGUGCCCGCCCCUCAGGGAUCUCCUCAGCCCCGCCCCUAGGUAGAGGGAGCUGUGGCUCCCGCCAAAAGUGAGGACCGAUCCUUCAGGUGCCUUCUCCCAGGCAGAGUGGACAGUGAGAGAGAGAGAGACAGAGAGAAAGGUCUUCCUUUGCCAUUGGUUCACCCUCCAAUGGCCGCCACGGCCGGCGCGCUGCGGCCAGCACACCUCGCUGAUCCAAAGCCAGGAGCCAGGUGCUUCUCCUGGUCUCCCAUGUGGGUGCAGGGCCCAAGCACUUGAGCCAUCCUCCACUGCACUCCCGGGCCAUAGCAGAGAGCUGGCCUGGAAUGGUUGCUUUUGACCUCCAAGCAAUGUACUGUGUUCUGUGCAGAAUCCAUCUGAAAGAGAACCAAGGCACUCCAGCUGAUAGCUCUACCUAAGCUCCCCUUUGAAAGCCAGCACCAAACAACCAAGCAACCAUGUAAGUCAUCUUCUUAAACAUUCCAGCCCCUCCAAGCUUCAAAUGACUGCAACUCCACCUCACUGGGCAAAAGAAUCACCCAGAUAAAUCUAGUUCCCGGUCAAAUCAAAUAAUAUUGAGGUGAUAAUUAUUCCUCCAAUAAACUAAGUUUAGGAAAAGUUUUUGCACAGGAAUAAACAAAAUAGAUAUUUUCAAAUUCUUGAGUAAAUACAUAGGAGUAGAACUGGUAGAAAUAGAACAGGUCUAUAGUAAGUAGCUGUAUAGUAAAGUAGCUUAGUAAAUUCACACUCUCACCAUCUGUGGGGAGCAACUGAGACUAGACUAAGUUACUGGAAUUAAGACUUAUUCUAUGCAUCUGCUCUCCCACAGUAUGGCGCUGAGAGAGACCAAACAACCUCUAUGCAGCUGCCUCAUCAGUUUGACACGCUGCAGGAGCUGAUCUUGCUCCUGAUUGGAGGAGAGCAGCGUGCUCGGCGUGUGGGUAGCAGAGUUGGGAUUGGUGGAAGAGGACUAUAAAGGAGGAGAGAGACAACAUGCACCAGGAACAUCUGAAGGAACAUCUGAGCAGCCCCCGAGAGAGCCGGCCAGCGGUGUGCUGCUCCUCCACAGAAGCGGGGAAAGCGGCUGGGGGAGCCGCCACUCCAUGGAGGUGGAGGGGUUGGCAGCCAACCCGGGAAGGACCAGCGGCAAACCCGGGAAGGGCCGAACCCGGGAAGGGCCAAGCAGACGAAAGAACAGCGCAGGGUCCGGUGUCGUUCCUCUGCGAAUGGGGGAGCGACAACCAUCAAAAAGUGUUGUGAUUAAUGUAUAUUCUCCUCGUCACUCUUUAACAUUUUUUGACACUUAAUUAUCAUUUAAUGAUGACUAAUGGUGUACAGCAUCUUUCUGUGUGCUCAUUUGUCACUUGUAAAUCUUUCAUGAAGUGUAUUUUCAAAUCUCAUCUUUUGCUUUAAGUUGGUUUAAGGCACUUUUUAAUAUUGAUUUCUUGAGUUUUAUCAUACAUUGUAGUUACAGAUCCUUCCUUUGAUAGAUAAAUGUAUUAUGACUGUCCAAGUCUAUAGUUUGAGUUCUCAUUGUUUUAAAUGUCUUUUUGAGGAGCUAAGUUUUUUAAAUUGAAUGCCUAAUUUAUUGUAUUCCUUAUAUCUAGUUAAUUAUAUUUUUCUGUAUCAUCUCUUGGAAAUCAUUGUCUACUCCAAGGAUGAAAUAUACCUUCCUAUAUUUUCUUUUUGAAGCACUGUACUUUUAACUUUUAUGUUUAUGCAUAUAGACCAUAUAGAAUUAUUUUUUAUGAAUAGCUUAAAUUAUUUGUUGAGUUUCAUUGCUUCACUUUUGUAUCCAUAUGGAUAUCCAGUUAUUCUAGAAAGAUAUUUUGAAAUUUUUCCCACUGAAUUUCCUAGGAACCAUUAUCAAAAUUAAAUUGAUAGCAUAUGUGUGUCUAUUUCUGGACUUUUAGUCCAGUCUCUCCUUACACCAAAUAUCCUCAUUAAUGUGGUUUAAAAUAAUGAAAUCCCAACUUUUGCAACAAAAUGAUUACAACUGAAGAUCAUUAUGCUUAGUGAAAUAAGAUAGAUCCAAAAGACAAAAUUCACAUUUUCUGAUUUGUGAUGGUUAAUACAUAUAGAGAGAAUAUAAAAAGAUUGCUGUUGAUGAAACUGACAUCUUUGAAUUUGAUUAUUGCUUAUAGCCCUUGUCCAUAUUUCUGCUGAACAGCAGUCUUUACUUUGUACUUAUUGAACUAUUUACUUAAUGGAAAAUUAAGCCUUUUACUAUAAAGUACAUUCAAAACAUAUUAUCUCAAAAAUUUUUUUUACUUAUUUGACAGGUAGAAUGAGACAGUGAGAGAGAGAAACAGAGAGAAAGGUCUCCCUUCCGUUGGUUCACCCCCCAGAUGGCCACUACGGUUGGCGCUGCAUGCCGAUCCGAACCCAGGAGCCAGGGGCUUCCUCCUAGUCUCCUAUGUGGGUGCAGGCAUCCAAUCACCUGGGCCAUCCUCCACUGCCUUCCUGGGCCACAACAGAGAGCUGGACUGAAAGAGGAGCAGCCGGGACUAGAACUCAAUGCCCAUAUGGGAUGCCAGCGCCACAGGUGGAUGAUUAGCCAAGUGAGCCACGGCGCUGGCCCAAAAAUUUUUUAAAAAGAAAAGAGAUAAAGGCAGAAGGAGGGAGAAGUGAAGGAGAGAAGUAUCAUUAUAUUCUUAGAAUUGUAUCCAUAGACUACAUUAAAUCUGUUCUCCUUAUAUUAAUAAAAUAAAAAUGUAAAUAUUUUAAAAAUUGAAUAAUAUGGUCACUAACAUGCCAAAUGUUGCUAAGGGUAGAUUUUCAAUGGUGGCAACAAGAAGAAAGUAUAUAACGUCUCAACAAAAAAGAUGAUACACAGUACCCAUGUGCAUAGGGAUGAAUGAUUUACAAGGUUAAGGUUAGAUACCAAAUGAAUUGUAGGAGUGAUAGUGUUGGAAAGCAUAAGUUGACUGCUGUUGUGGGUAAGUGGAUGGAGAACCAAUUAGUUAAUAUUUCAAAAUAUCCCGUUCCAUAUGCUUGUUCCCAGAUUAAACUAGCUGAUUCUAAUAAUUAUUCAGCUUUAACUUCAGCAUUUGCAACAUAUUCAACACAGCUUAAUUGAACUUCUCUGUUGAUAGGUGUUCUUACAUUUGUUGUUAAUGUCUUCUGCCACUUGGGGCCAACCAGUCCCUGAAACCUGGACUCAUACUAGUCACGAGUCGUUUCCCUUCCUGUAUUAUUAAAUUGUAAAAUCAUAUUGUCAAAAUAAAAGAUAGUAUUUCUGGGGAAAAGCAAUUUUGGCUUAUUUAUAUAAAACUCUUUUUUUCCUAGAAAAAUGAAUUUUUAUCUUUCUAUAAGGCCUUUCUCUAGUCUUCUCCCACCCUCCAUUUUGGCUCAGAUGUUUUUGUUGUUUGUAUGAGACCUUAUUUUAACUGAAGCAUCCUCUUUGCUAACAUCUGAUGUAUAGUACAUUUGCAAUUACCAUCAGUAGUAUUGACAACUACUUUUUCCAACAGUUUUUAGCUUGGCCCUGCUAAAGGCAUAGGUAACAGAGGAAGUUGUCAGUUCACACUUGCUGAGUAAUCCUAGAAGUAUUCUCCAAGUUGUACAUGUGAUUGCUUUUCUCAGAACAAGAAAAUCUGGGAUGUUGUAUCAUGAGCUAAUGCAAAUUUUUAAAAAUUCAUAAACUAUUCAUUCAUUACCUUGAUAAAAGAAAUUUUCUAGACCCUCAAAUCUGAUGACAGUAUAAAAACUGAAGGAAUUGUAAGAUCAGCCAUUGGCAAACCAAAAUCUCUUAGCACAUGUACUCCAAAAUCUUAUAUAAAGUACUUCUUUCCUCUAUGCCCAUAGAGUUUGAGGAGUUGAAAAUUCUGUAUAAUUGACAAACUGAUGUCUUAAUUCCUAUGGAAAUGUAAGAGACCUGGAGGAGCCAAAGUAAUCUUGAAAAAGAAUAACAAUUUGAAGGGCUCACAUCUCCAGAUUUCAAAAUCUACUACAAAGUACAAUAAUCAAGGCUAAGUAUUGCUGGUCUAAGAGCAGACAUAUAGAUCAAUGCAGUAGAACUGGGAGUUUGUAAAUCCACUCAUACUUUUCUCAUGAACUGAUUUUUAACAUGUGUGCCAAGAUAAUUAAGUGGGAGAAAGAAUAAUCUGUUUAAUAAAUUAUGCUGGACAACUCAAUAACCACAUACAAAAGCAUGAAGUUGGACUCCUAUGUCACACCAUACAAAGAAAUAAACUCAAAAUGAACCAAAGAGCCAAAUAUAAGUGCUAAACUAAUAAAACUAUUAGAAAAACCCAUAAACAUUGGUCAUUGUGACUUAGAUUAGACAAUAAACAUAAGCAACCAAAAUUUGGACUUAAUUAAAAUUUAAAAAAAAUUUUUGCUUCAAAUGAGUUUAUCAAGAAAUUAAAAAUAUAUACCACAGAAGGAUGGCCCAAGUGUUUGGGCCCCUGCGCCCGCAUGGGAGACCAGGAAGAAGCACCUGGCUCCUGGCUUUGGAUCGGCACAGCGCUGGCUGUGGCGACCAUUUGGGAAGUGAACCAACGGAAGGAAGACUUUUCUCUCUGUCUCUCUCUCUCACUGUCUACAACUCUACCUGACAAAUAGAUAAAUAAGAAAAAUUUUCAAAAGAAAAAACGAGAGCCAUUGUGUCCAUGGAUUUUAAAAUAUAUAUAUACCACAGAAUAGGAGAAAAUAUUUGCAAAUCAUAUAGCUGGAAAGUAUCUAGUAUCCAGGAUAUAUAAGUAACUCCUAAAAUAUAAAAAUAGACAAAUAAUUCAAAGUGGGAAAUCUGUUAGAACAUACAUUUCUUCAAAGAAGAUAUAUAAAUGGUCAAUAAAUGCUCAACAUCACUUUUGCUCAGGGAGAUACAAAUCAAAACCACAAUGGAUAACUAGAAUAAAAAGUCAGAAAAUAUUAAGUAUUUCAGCGAUCUGUAGAAACUGGAAUCCUGAUACAUUGCUGGUAAGAAGGUAAACAGUGUAGCAAAUUCGGGAAACAGUUAACAUAUUUUUAAAAUGUUAAACAUACAGUUACUAUAUGAUCCAAUAAUCUCACUCUUAAGCACAUAACCAAGAGUUAUAUAGGAAAAUAUAUCUACGAAAAGUUUGUCUGAAUUCUAACAGCUGCAUUAUUUUUAAUCAUCAAAAUGUAGAAACAACCUAACCAUAAUCCAUUGAUGAAUGGAUAAGCAAAAUGUAAUAUAUUUAUCUUGUGUCAGCCCUAAGAAGUACCAGUUCAUACUAUAACAUGGAUGAACCUAGAAAAUAUGGUGCAAAAUGAAAGACGUUAGAUACAAAAAGCUAUAUACUGGAUGAUUCUAUUUAUAUAAAAUGUCCAGAAGAAACAAAUCCAUAAGACAGAAAAGUUAGUGAUUUCCAGGGGCUUGGCCUGAGAGGAAUGGGGAGUGACUCUUAAUAUGUGUGAGUUUCAGGAAUGAAGAGACUGUUAGGGAAUUAGAUAAUGGUGUUGCAAAACUGUGUGAAUAUAUUAAAAACCACCAAAUUAAAUGCUUUAAAAGGGUGGAUUCUAAGGCAUGUGAACUGAAUCUGAGAAAAAAAAAUUCUUGGGCCCUGCCCUGUAACUACUUCUAAAUCAAAAUGAGAUGGUGAGGUUUCAAAUAAUCUAUAUUUUAAGUUCUUUAGGAGAUUCGUAUGUACAUUAAUAUUUGAGAAUUGUUCCUUUAAACCAUUUUUUAAAAGUCUA